rnacentral:rRNA from 1 species
AUUGAACGCUGGCGGCAGGCCUAACACAUGCAAGUCGAACGCGUGGCGGACGGGUGAGUAAUGCCUGGGAAACUGCCUGAUGGAGGGGGAUAACUACUGGAAACGGUAGCUAAUACCGCAUACCAUCAGAUGUGUCCAGAUGGGAUUAGCUAGUUGGGGGGGUAACGGCUCACCAAGGGGACGAUCCCUAGCUGGUCUGAGAGGAUGACCAGCGACACGGGAACUGAGACACGGACCAGAGUCCUAAGAGAGGCAGCAGUGGGGAAUAUGGCACAGUGGGCGCAAGCCUGAUGCAGCCAUGCCGCGUGUGUGAAGAAGGCCUUCGGGGUGUAAAGUACUUUCAGCGGGGAGGCGUUACCCGCAGAAGAAGCACCGGCUAACUCCGUGCCAGCAGCCGCGGUAAUAC